GCAAUUAUUGAAAAAUCAUUUUAAAACCCUAUGUUACUAAGUCAUUGUGGAAUGUGAGAUGGUAGAGUAUGAGUUUCUUAUUCUUGAUAUCAUUGUUGCUUGGAGAAUUUAUCCAAAAUUCUAGCUACCAUCCUCAGUGUUUUAUAUGCUUGAUAAAACUAAAAAUAUUAAUUAUGAUAAUAAAAGCUAUCUACUCUGUAUUGAGUUUGUUCAAAAUGAGUUAGACCCUUGUUGAGAGAUUUAUCAUGCUCCUAAGAUCAAGACAUUUAUUCAGAAAGAUUCACUAUUCCGAAGUAUUAUUGCAUUAGAGGCAUGGGCUAUACAAAAAUAAGGAUAUUUCGAGGAAAUAAAAAGGAGCAAGUGCUCGAUAACCUCACAGAAAAAUGGACAAGUGUCGGACAGUAGAAUUAGAGGUACCUCGGUAUCCACUUAAAAAAAGAAGAAAAAGAAAAUGAUAGCUCAUGGUCCCUCUAAUAAGCAAUAUGCCAGCAAGAGUUGACAAGUUUUUAAUUUCCAAAGUCUUUGAUCUAAGAGUAUGGCAUUCUUCUCCUAGGAUCCCGUUUUGAUCAGGCAAUAAAUGCAAGGUAAGUAUGCUCGAGAAUUUUUGCAAAUUAAAACAGCCUCAGUGAGAUAUAUAAAAGAUAAUGAGUGACCUG
rnacentral:lncRNA from 1 species